CAAAAAGCAGGCAGAAAAAUGUGAAACGAUGAGACUGGCCUAGCCUCCCAGUCUACAUCUUACUCUUGUGCUGUAUGCUUCCUGCCCUCCAACAUCGGACUCCAAAUUCUUCAGUUUUGGGACUCAGACCGGCUUGCCUUACUCCUCAGCUUGCAGACAGCCUAUUGUGGGACCUUGUGCUCGUGUUGGCCCUCAAUGGAUUGGAUGACGCCUGCCCACACUGGUUUAGAGCUUUGAUUCUGUUUUGCUUCAGAAGCAGUUCAGGUCAUAGUCAAUGGACACAAAGAAGAUGCAUCUUCAAACCAGGAUAUGAUUGGGAAGACUAAAGACUUGCAAUUCUCCAGGCAGAAGAUUGCAACCUCCCAUUAUGAAACAGCAUCAUAAAAUGCAGAGCACAGCUACCCUGACUAAAACCACCUUUCUCCUCUGCUGAUACAGACAAACUAGCAGUAAAUGCUUUUUGAGCUCCCGGCGUGCAGAUAAAUUCCUACGGACAUCCCCAAUUGGACUGAAAGAUUGAGACACACAAGGGAGAGAAUAGCUGAGGCCAGGAGAAUUUAACAUGGCAAUUAGCAACCCUUCAACUUUGCCAGACCCCACAGCACAAGACAGGAUGGAGGUAACCAAAAAUCUCUCCAGAAGAGUAGUUGAUAAAUUGAUUGGGUCCCAGGGGUUGCUGGACACAGUUAUUAUCCAAUUGCAGGCCUGGAUGGUGUGCAAGUCUAUGUAGUGAAGUCAGAAAAUGAAACAGGGCUUUAAAUUCCCAAGGGGAGCUCCUUUGCUUAUGUAUCCAUUGCUGCACCCUUUCCCCUCAUUUUGGAAGACUCUGAAUCACAUCACAUAGUGUGUAUUAUCUUCUCUAACUGAACAAACAAGUUCUAAAACAUAAAAUAUAUAAAACAACUGUAACCAUUAUCAUCAAUGAUUCUGUUCUUAAGAAGUUAGAAAAGUAAAAUAUAAAAUUAAAAUUGAAAAUAUUUAAAGACUUCCAGAAUUUUUUUUUUUUUUAAAGCAGAGGGAGGGUGUGUGGGGGAAGAGGAAUUUUAAUCCUCUUUCUGUAUCAAUUCUGAUGGCUGCUUUUAAGAAUUAUUUUAACCAUCA
rnacentral:lncRNA from 10 species